AGAGUGAACGCUGGCGGUAGGCCUAACACAUGCAAGUCGAACGGCAGCACAGUAGGAGCUUGCUCUUACGGGUGGCGAGUGGCGGACGGGUGAGGAAUACAUCGGAAUCUACCUUUUGGUGGGGGAUAACGUAGGGAAACUUACGCUAAUACCGCAUACGCCCUUCGGGGGAAAGCCGGGGACCAGCAAUGGCCUGGUGCUGAUAGAUGAGCCGAUGUCGGAUUAGCUAGUUGGUGAGGUAAUGGCUCACCAAGGCGACGAUCCGUAGCUGGUCUGAGAGGAUGAUCAGCCACACGUGGAACUGAGACACGGUCCGAGACGUCCGUACGGGAGGCAGCGAGUAGGGGAAUAUUGGACAAGU
rnacentral:rRNA from 1 species